GUGUGGACGCCAGUCUGCAUGGAGCCGACCUUGAAAUACCACCCUUUAAUGUUUGAUGUUCUAACGUUGACCCGUAAUCCGGGUUGCGGACAGUGUCUGGUGGGUAGUUUGACUGGGGCGGUCUCCUCCUAAAGAGUAACGGAGGAGCACGAAGGUUGGCUAAUCCUGGUCGGACAUCAGGAGGUUAGUGCAAUGGCAUAAGCCAGCUUGACUGCGAGCGUGACGGCGCGAGCAGGUGCGAAAGCAGGUCAUAGUGAUCCGGUGGUUCUGAAUGGAAGGGCCAUCGCUCAACGGAUAAAAGGUACUCCGGGGAUAACAGGCUGAUACCGCCCAAGAGUUCAUAUCGACGGCGGUGUUUGGCACCUCGAUGUCGGCUCAUCACAUCCUGGGGCUGAAGUAGGUCCCAAGGGUAUGGCUGUUCGCCAUUUAAAGUGGUACGCGAGCUGGGUUUAGAACGUCGUGAGACAGUUCGGUCCCUAUCUGCCGUGGGCGCUGGAGAACUGAGGGGGGCUGCUCCUAGUACGAGAGGACCGGAGUGGACGCAUCACUGGUGUUCGGGUUGUCAUGCCAAUGGCACUGCCCGGUAGCUAAAUGCGGAAGAGAUAAGUGCUGA
rnacentral:rRNA from 1 species